GGUGAGGAAGAGGAGGAGGAGGAGGAGUCGGUCUGUCAAUGCUUCUCCUCUUCAUCACAAUGUUGAUGAAGUGUACAUCAUGUCUUAUAUUGCCUGACGUGGUGAAGACAACUUGCUGGAGGUCAAAGCGAGCAUCACAACGGGGAGGAAGAGGGUUUAAUAGAAAGUACCCAGUGAGCACCACCAAGGAACGCACAACAAUGCACACCACCACCAAGGAACACACAACACCACCAAGGAACGCACAACACAGGGCUGCUGUAGCCCUGCAUAGGAGCACACCAGGAGCCCCUCCUGUCAGCUAACAGGAAACAGACCACAACUCACACAGGCUCACAUCAGUGGACAAUAAUAAUAUAUUUAAUUUGUAAUGCACUUUAUAUUUAAGAAAAUCCCAAAGUGCUACAUGAUAAAACAGGUAAGUGCUGACAAUAAAAACACACGGAGAGUUUGAAAACAAAAACAAAACGAGUUCACUCAAAAGUCUCCUAAACAAGCAUCCCCAGUCUGUGGUGUCCUCAGGUGGUCAGCGAGAGGUUCCACAGACUGGUGUCCUCAGGUGGUCAGCGAGAGGUUCCACAGACUGGUGUCCUCAGGUGGUCAGCGAGAGGUUCCACAGACUGGUGUCCUCAGGUAGUCAGCGAGAGGUUCCACAGACUGGUGUCCUCAGGUGGUCAGCGAGAGGUUCCACAGACUGGUGUCCUCAGGUGGUCAGCGAGAGGUUCCACAGACUGGGAGCAGCUGAGCAGAAAGCCCGAUCUCCCAUAGUACGGAGCUUUGUCCUGGGAGGUUUUAAAAGAUGUGCUGAGGCAGAUCGGAGGGUACGUGUUGAUGUCUGUGGGGUGAGGAGUUUCUUGAGGUAGGGGGGGGGACUUCACCAUGGAUGCACUGGUGGGUAAGGAGGGAGACCUUGUACUCAACCCUGAGUGAGACAGGAAGCCAGUGGAGUGAUUUGAGGAUGGGGGUGAUGUGCUCAUGUCAACAGGAUCCUAGCAGCGCUGCUCUGGAUGUACUGCAAUUUCUGGAGGCUUUUCUAGGGAUCCCGGGGAGGAGCGCAUUACAAUAGUCCAGCCUGGAGGAGACAAAAGCGUGGACAAGCUUUUUCCUUUAUUAUCUCCAGGCAGGCGGUCAGAGUGGAUAAUGGCAGGGCAGCAGAGGGGGUUGGGUUUGUCCUGAGGUAGAGUUAAGUGUCAUCAGCAUAGCAGUGGAAUGAAAUUCCAUGCCGGCUGAUGACAUGGCCGAGGGGGAGCAUGUAGAUAAUGAACAGGGUGGGGCCGAGCACUGAGCCUUGAGGGACACCACAGGUGACAUUGUGUGUCAGGGAUUUAGCCUCUCCCAAGGCGACAUGCUCAGUUCUCCCGGUGAGGUAGGAUGAGAACCACUGAUGGACGAGGUCAGAAAGGCCGAUAGUGGAACGUAGACGGUGGAGGAGGAUGUUGUGGUCCACAGUAUCGAAUGCUGCAGUCAAGUCCAGGCGGAUGAGAAGAGAUGGGGAGCCAGCGUCUGCAGUCAUCGGUAGGUCAUUUGUGACCCUGACCAGGGCUGUUUCUGUGCUGUGGCCGGGGCGGAAACCAGAUUGAAAUUUCUCGAACACGUUGUUUUGCUUUAGAUGGUCCGGUCCUGAAGCUGUGCGGCAACUACUUUUUCCAGCACCUUGGAAAGGAAUGGAAGGUUGGGUGGUUUUUUAGAAGUGGCCUGAUGACAGAGGUCUUCAGUGUUGAUGGAACAUGGCCAGCCCGGAGGGAGUGGUUAAUGACCUUUGUACAAUAGAAGAUUGGACAAACGGUUCCUGGUCUCAUGAGUCUCAUUCCAGCUGAACAUCUAGAUGGUCGGUCAGAAUGUGGAGUAAACCACAUGAAAGCCUGGAUCCAUCCUGCCUCGUACCAACGCUUGGGGCUGCUGCUGGUGGGAUGGGGCAUUUUCUUGGCUCGUUUUGGGCCCCUUGGUACCCAUCGAGCGUGGUUUGAAGGGUUGUUGCUGACCAUGUCCAUCCCUUUAGGACCACAGUGUCCCAUCUGAUGGACCAUGUCACAAAGCUCAUAUCUCAAAGAUGACGAGUUCACGAUACUCCGAUGGCCUUGAAGGCUCCACAUCUCAAUCCAGUGGAGCCCCUUUGGGACGUGCAGUGACUGCGUGACGCUGUCACGUCAAAAUGGAGCAACAUCUGUGAGGGACGUUUCCAACACCUUGUUUUUAAGUACAACACCAAGAAUCAAGGUGGUUCUGAAGAAGGGGUCCAACUUUCUACCAGCAAGGUGGACCUGAUCACGUGUGUGUGCUCAUACUGCUCGUCAUCAAUAUAUCUGAUAAUAAAUCAAUACAAGUAUCGGA